UACGGGGGGAGCAAGCGUUGUUCGGAUUUACUGGGCGUAAAGGGCGCGUAGGCGGCCACCGCAGUCGGUUGUGAAAUCUCCGGGCUUAACCCGGAAAGGUCAAUCGAUACUGCGGGGCUAGAGUGCAGAAGGGGCAACUGGAAUUCUCGGUGUAGCGGUGAAAUGCGUAGAUAUCGAGAGGAACACCUGCGGCGAAGGCGGGUUGCUGGGCUGACACUGACGCUGAAGCGCGAAAGCUAGGGGAGCGAACGGG
rnacentral:rRNA from 1 species